AUUACCCAGGGAUCUUGUUAAAAUGAGAAUUCUGACUCAUGGGUCUGGGGAGGGCCUGAGAUUCUGCAUUUCUAACAAGUUCUCAUGUGAUACCA
ensembl:miRNA predicted gene, 24767